GAUGAACGCUAGCGACAGGCUUAACACAUGCAAGUCGAGGGGCAGCGGGAGUGAAGCUUGCUUCACUCGCCGGCGACCGGCGCACUGGUGAGUAAUGCGUAUGCGACCUGCCUGCGGCCGGGGGAUAAUCCAUAGAAAUGUGGUCUAAUACCCCAUAUGCCGGUCUCCUGCAUGGGAGACCGGUGAAAGGAGAGAUCCGGGCGCGGAUGGGCAUGCGUCUGAUUAGCUGGUUGGCGGGGCAACGGCCCACCAAGGCAACGAUCAGUAGGGGUUCUGAGAGGAAGGUCCCCCACAUUGGAACUGAGACACGGUCCAAACUCCUACGGGAGCAGCAGUGAGGAUAUUGGUCAAUGGGCGAGAGCCUGAACCAGCCAAGUAGCGUGCAGGACGACGGCCCUAUGGGUUGUAAACUGCUUUUUAUAAAGGGUAAUAAAGUGAGUCUCGUGAGGCUUUUUGCAUGUACCUUAUGAAUAAGGACCGGCUAA
rnacentral:rRNA from 1 species